rnacentral:lncRNA from 1 species
CAGAUUUGCUAGCGCUCCAACAUCAUCCCGCUAGCAGCUGUGCUGGGGAGAAAUGGCACCGCAGGCACCGGGAAGAGCAGCCCAUCCCUCCUCCAAGACCCAGUGGUUUCUUCACUGCCCUCUACUGACAAAAUCUAGCAUUGCACCAGCUGGCAAAGGGGAAGAAGGUUCCAUGGGCCCAACUCCAGCAUCCUACAGCAGGUGAAGAAAGGUAGAUCUGAAGAGUUAAUAAACUGACAACUGGAAGAGGUGACAAGAGAGGCGGGGAUGUGCCAUUCUCAUGGCUGCGCACACUUAAACAUGGAUACUUGAUGCCUGCCAGCUGGAGCUGAUUACGUUGAUUAAGAAGAGACCAAGGUUGAGGAGGUGAAAUCUUCUGGGAAGCACAUCCCCGGGGUCAGCACACACAAGCUGUGUUCUGGAGGUAGCCAAGGUUGUGUCUCGUGCUGGCAGCUUCUCGGUAGCGUAAGAGUCACCCAGGUGGUGCUGGUUUUGAAGGCAUGAAGAGCAGCUGAGGCUCGGCACUGAGAGGCUAAGAAAGGCCAUUGGUGAAGGUGUAGCCUCAGUGGCAGUUGAAGGUCCAGGACUGCAGGGAUCAUGCAGAGAAACUCAGGCUUGGCACCAUGAAGAGAGCCUCUGAGAGGCUGCUGGUGACUGUGCAGCCCAGUUGCAGCAGAAGACACCAGCAUUUUGAAGAUGCCAGUACCAUGGGAUGAGCACCAAGAACAGUAGCAGCUAUGGAGUGGAGUCAGCAAGAACCUUGGAGACAAGCUGUGUGUGCUGCAGGGGGC